AAUGAACGCUGGCGGUAUGCCUAACACAUGCAAGUCGAGCGGAAGGACAAGAAGAUCUUGCCCUUACGGGUAGCGGCGGGCGGAUGAGUGAGGAAUACAUAGGAAUCUAAUUUUUCGGGGGGGAAAUCGUGGAACAACAGACACUAAUGGCGAAUACUACGUACCGGUGGGAGCAAAAGUGAAUGGCAGCUUGCUCGAUUGCUUGAGCCGAUGCCGGAUUAGCUAGUUGGGUAGGUAAAGUCACACCAAGGCGACGCUACGUAGCUGGCCUGAGAGGAUGAUCGGCCACACUGGAACUGAGACACGGUCCAGACUCCUACGGGAGGCAGCAGUAGGGAAUCUUCCACAAUGGGCGCAAGCCUGACGCAGCCACGCCGCGUGAGUGAAGAAGGUCUUCGGAUUGUAAAGCUCUUUUGUUAGGAAAGAACAUAUGUAUGUUUAACUCCCGCUAUUCUGACGGUACCUAAAGAAUAAGCCCCGGCUAACUUCGUG
rnacentral:rRNA from 1 species